AUACGUAGGUGGCGAGCGUUGUCCGGAAUUACUGGGCGUAAAGGAUGCGUAGGUGGAUACUUAAGUGGGAUGUGAAAUCCCCGGGCUCAACCCGGGAACUGCAUUCCAAACUGGGUAUCUAGAGUGCAGGAGAGGAAAGCGGAAUUCCUAGUGUAGCGGUGAAAUGCGUAGAUAUUAGGAGGAACACCAGUGGCGAAGGCGGAUGUCUGGAAUGUAACGUACACUGGGGAAUGAAAGGGUGGGUAGCAAACAGGAUUGGAUACCCUGGUAUUCCACGCCGUAAACGAUGGGUACUAGGUGUAGGAGGUAUCGGCCCCUUCUGUGCCGUCGUUAACACAAUAAGUCCCCCGCCUGGGGAGUACGGCC
rnacentral:rRNA from 1 species